UGCAAGUCGAGCGGAAGGCCCCUUCGGGGGUACUCGAGCGGCGAACGGGUGAGUAACACGUGAGCAACCUGCCCCUGACUUCGGGAUAAGCCUGGGAAACCGGGUCUAAUACCGGAUAUGACGCGUCAUCGCAUGGUGUGCGUGUGGAAAGUUUUUCGGUUGGGGAUGGGCUCGCGGCCUAUCAGCUUGUUGGUGGGGUGAUGGCCUACCAAGGCGACGACGGGUAACCGGCCUGAGAGGGCGACCGGUCACACUGGGACUGAGACACGGCCCAGACUCCUACGGGAGGCAGCAGUGGGGAAUAUUGCGCAAUGGGCGGAAGCCUGACGCAGCGACGCCGCGUGGGGGAUGACGGCCUUCGGGUUGUAAACCUCUUUCAGCAUCGACGAAGCCUUCGGGUGACGGUAGGUGCAGAAGAAGCGCCGGCUAACUACGUGCCAGCAGCCGCGGUAAUACGUAGGGCGCAAGCGUUGUCCGGAAUUAUUGGGCGUAAAGAGCUCGUAGGCGGUUUGUCGCGUCUGUCGUGAAAGCCCACGGCUUAACUGUGGGUCUGCGGUGGAUACGGGCAGGCUAGAGGCAGGUAGGGGAGAACGGAAUUCCCGGUGUAGCGGUGAAAUGCGCAGAUAUCGGGAGGAACACCGGUGGCGAAGGCGGUUCUCUGGGCCUGUACUGACGCUGAGGAGCGAAAGCGUGGGGAGCGAACAGGAUUAGAUACCCUGGUAGUCCACGCCGUAAACGUUGGGCGCUAGGUGUGGGGUUCUUCCACGGAUUCCGCGCCGUAGCUAACGCAUUAAGCGCCCCGCCUGGGGAGUACGGCCGCUAGGCUAAAACUCAAAGGAAUUGAC
rnacentral:rRNA from 1 species